rnacentral:tRNA from 1 species
UACCUUAUAUUCUAAUAAAAUGAUUUUAAAUUGCAAAUUUAAAGGUGAAUAAUUCUGAGGUUU